rnacentral:rRNA from 1 species
AUUGAACGCUGGGGCAGGCCUAACACAUGCCAGUCGAGCGGAUGAAGGGAGCUUGCUCCUGGAUUCAGCGGCGGACGGGUGAGUAAUGCCUAGGAAUCUGCCUGGUAGUGGGGGAUAACGUCCGGAAACGGGCGCUAAUACCGCAUACGUCCUGAGGGAGAAAGUGGGGGAUCUUCGGACCUCACGCUAUCAGAUGAGCCUAGGUCGGAUUAGCUAGUUGGUGGGGUAAAGGCCUACCAAGGCGACGAUCCGUAACUGGUCUGAGAGGAUGAUCAGUCACACUGGAACUGAGACACGGUCCAGACUCCUACGGGAGGCAGCAGUGGGGAAUAUUGGACAAAGGGCGAAAGCCUGAUCCAGCCAUGCCGCGUGUGUGAAGAAGGUCUUCGGAUUGUAAAGCACUUUAAGUUGGGAGGAAGGGCAGUAAGUUAAUACCUUGCUGUUUUGACGUUACCAACAGAAUAAGCACCGGCUAACUUCGUG